UAGGGAAUCUUCCACAAUGGGCGCAAGCCUGAUGGAGCAACACCGCGUGAGUGAAGAAGGGUUUCGGCUCGUAAAGCUCUGUUGUUAAAGAAGAACACGUAUGAGAGUAACUGUUCAUACGUUGACGGUAUUUAACCAGAAAGUCACGGCUAACUACGUGCCAN
rnacentral:rRNA from 1 species